CAUCCGUGCGGCGUGUCCAUCGCACGGCCCUGGCUCCACGGAUGCCCCGCUCCACGCACGCAACGAUUGAUCCUGAUUUUAAGUUUAAAAAAAAAACAAAAUACACAUCGUAAUACUGAUUCCUUCUUCAAUACCCGCCAAAAGAACCACAGAAUACACAAAAAGGCGCCAAAAUGCAAGAUCUACAUCUCAUAUGAGGCGGAAGUGACCUUACAGCCUUAAAGCGCACAAUUAUCAAUAGCGGCUUAACCAGGAAUCAGGAAACUCUUCUCUUCAAUUGAGCAGCAAAGGAAUCCGCGUCCCUGAUGACUUCUCCGAGGAGUGUUCCAGGGAACCAGGACACUGACGAACAAUCUCAUGCACCAAAAGUAAGAAAUCUCAUUCGGUUCUGACGAUGAAUCUGCGGCAAAUUCUCUAAUUUCUUUGUUUUGAACCAUUGCGGGAGACUUCUCAUCCAGCAGUGCACACAAAUAUGUUUGCCUAAAAGAUCCACUUUCCAUCAACUGUGACACGAUCCAGAGUGUUGGCCGGGAAAAAGCAGUGUGCUGCACCCUUGUAGAACUUCUACAGGAAUCUGUGACCGCAUUCUGCAAAAGCCAAACAACAAUGGAAAGUUAGUUUUUUUUUUUUUAAUUUAGAAAAACAAAGCAGUGUCAUGUACAGUAGCCAAUUUCAGACGUUCUUGUACCAUCUCUGAUUUCAGGUUUUGGAAAACAUGCACUACAGUUUUUUCUAUUCUUUUUACAAUACAUAUAGUUCAUGGACAAACAUAAGAGAUAGUUGAAUAUACUUGCACAAACCGUGUACAGAUAUGAAAUAUAAACAGAACAAGGAUUCUAGAGUGCAUCAUGAUUUCUUCUCUAAAACUUAAGACUCCUGAUGUCUCAAUGCACUCCAUGUUUCUUAAGACAAAUACGAUUGCAAGAGAUAUAAAUAUGAUUUAUGAUGCAGUUCAUAAAAACUCAUGAUAGGCAAAUAUGAUUGCUAUAUGUGUGUAUUAACUAAAUUGAAUCCUAACUGAUAUAGGAUCAAGAAACUACAGUAGAUCACACCGAUGAAAGGGUACCAAAGCAUGGCAUGAAAUUUUUAUCUGAAGAGGAAGCUUAUUUAUUUUAUAACAAGUAUGCUAAAACCAUCGGUUUUAGCAUCAGAAGAAGCAGUGGUCAUAAAGUGAUGAACUCUUCUACAUUUCAGCAACGGACAUUUACAUGCUCUCGUCAAGGUAUGGGUUAUUUUCAUUUUUAAAAAUUAUAAUCAUUUAUUUAUGCUCUAAGACAAUUACAACAACUUAUAGGCCAUCGCCGGGAAGAUAAAAGAGAGGAGACAUUCACUUACAGUAGGCCUGAAACACGAUGUGGUUGUGAUGCCCGUAUGAAGAUUAGCCUUAGAGAUGGAUUUUAUUAUGUGUAUGAAUUCGAGGCGUCACAUAACCACACUCUUGCUAAUGGACUCAUGGCCCAAUACUUGAGAUCCCAGAGAAAAGUGACAGAAGCACAGAUAGCAAACGCAGAGGUUGCAAAGUCAGUUGGCAUUUCAAAUAAAGCAACAAUCGAUUUGAUGGCUAAAGAAGCAGGUGGAAGUGAAAACCUUGGCUUUACACCUCAAGAUAUGAAAAAUUGUUUGUACUCAAAGAGAACAAUAAAAGCAAAGGUAGGUGACACAGGGGGGGUAUUAGAAUACAUGGAGAAAAAGGUCUCAGAAGAUGUCAACUUCUUCUAUUCAAUUCAAGUGGAUGAGGAUGAGUUGAUAACUAAUAUUUUUUGGGCCGACUCCAAAAUGGUUUCAGACUAUGCAAUGUUCGGCGAUGUUAUAUGCUUUGACACCACAUACAGAAAACUAGAUGAUGGACGUCCAUUUGGUUUGAUUGUCGGGGUGAAUAAUCAUAAGAAAACUAUUGUCUUUGGUGCUGCACUUCUGUAUGAUGAAACCGCUGCUAGUUUUGCUUGGCUUUUCAGAACUUUCCUAAAAGUUAUGUCAGGAAAACAUCCACGUACAAUUCUCACCGAUGAAGAUGCAGCAAUGGCGAAGGCAAUUUGUGAAGUCUUUCCUCACUCUCACCAUAGACUUUGUGUGUGGCAUAUGAAUCAAAAUGCUUGCAAGCACCUCGCCGGAGUUGUUGACGAAUAUAAGAAGUUUAAUGUUGAUUUUCAGCACUGUAUAUAUGAUAUAGAAGAGGAGGAUGAAUUUGUAGGUGCAUGGGAUAAAAUGAUUGACAAGUAUGGACUGCGUGACAAUGAAUGGCUGCAAAGGCUAUUUGAGAAAAAGGAACACUGGGCACUAGUGUACGGUAAAAAUACGUUCUCUGCCCACAUGAGCACUACCCAAAGAAGUGAAAGCAUGAACAAUGAACUGAAGAGAUACAUUAGUAUUAAAUAUGACAUGCUUACUUUCUUUAAGCAUUUUGAACGGCUAGUUUCGGAUAAAAGAUGUGAAGAGGUGAAGUAUGACUUUAAAGCAACACAGACUACUCCCAAGUUGAAGGCUGAAUCUAGCUAUAUGUUAAAACAAGCUGCAGCUACAUAUACUCCAGCAAUAUUCAAGAUGGUUCAAGAUCAAGUGCUUCGGACUCUGAACUAUGACACAAUGCUUUGUGAUGAAAGUGACACAAAGGUGAAGAUUUAUGUAGUAAAAUUUCAUGGCACACAACGUGAACAUGUUGUUAGAUUCAUUCCAAAAGAAGAAAAGGUUAGCUGCAGUUGCAAAAGGUUUGAGUUUGCUGGAAUUCUUUGCUCUCAUUGCUUAAAGGUACUUGAUAUUAACAAUAUCAAGCAUAUCCCUGGGGAAUAUAUCUUGAAAAGAUGGACAAUUGAUGCCAAAGUUCUAGAUAUAACAAGCAAAUGCAACCCGCGUGAUAACCUAAAAGCAAGAAUGUCUAACCGCUACAAGGAACUAUGCAGAAUAUUUGUGAAAAUAGCUGCUCGUGCCGCUGAGUCUGAAGAAUCAUACUAUAAGGCUGCUAAGUGUGCAGAGCAAUUAGCACAAGAUGUGGAGAAAUGCUUGAAGAUUAGAGCUGAUCCAGAUUUGGUUAGCGUCGAUCCACAUUUGGUUCAUGUUGAUCCGGAUUUGGUUCGCGCUGAUCCAGAUUUGGUUAGUGCUAAUCCAGAUUUGGGUAACUCCAGUACUAAAGAAGGUACAAACUAUACUAACAAUAAUUACCUACACUAUUGUUGAACAACGACUGAUAUUUGGCAUUAUACUGGCAGGAACGAACAUCGCCUCUAGUAGAAUUUCAAAACACGGUGAGGGGCUUGCAAAACCAAAAGGUAUGAAGGUCAAGGAGAAGACUGUGAAAGGAUCAAAAAGACCCGUUGGUGGAUUUGAGAAAGCAACUUCAAAGAAGAAAAAGAACACAAAUGAUACUGUGCAUCUAGAGCCUCGUGGCCCCUCAACGGUAUAAUAUUUAGUCACUCGAUUCGUAUAAAAUAUUUAAUGUGUUGACCUUUCUCUAUCAUUUUCGAUAGGGUCCUUUGAAGAAAGCAACUUUAAAGAAGAAAAAGAACACAAAUGAUAUUAUACAACUACAGCCUCAUGACCCGCCGACGGUAAUAAUACAAUGUUGCUUGUUUCUUAUAAAACCUCAACUGUACUGACCUUUCUCUAUCAUUUUCUAUAGGGUCCUAAGGAAUUUUUCACAAAUCAAAUGGCUGCAUAUCAAUUACACUAUAAUGCUAUGCUAAGUGCUUCAAUGCAACCAUCAAUUGGUAAUGCCAUCCCUAUGCCACCACAGACCCAACAACUGUUGGCUGGAUUCCAACCAUACAAUACAGCAAUGGUAGAAGCAGUCCACACUUUCAUUUUUCCUAUUUUUUUAAACUUCAGUGCAACUGAACUUUGCUUUCUCUACAGGGCCAUCCGACAAAUAACAUGUACACCUCGCUGCAGGGUACGUUGGGGCCUCUAACUCUGGUUUGAUGACAGGAGAAAAUCAAGACUUCCUCCAUCAACCGAAUCCAACAUCUAUCCUAAAUGCUUCAAUGCUGCAAUCCAGUGGUCAUACCAUCCCAAUGCCACCGCAGAUCCAAGAACACGGCAAUACUCCAGUGGUAUAAGCAGUCCACACUUUCAUUUCAAGUAUAGUUUUAGAACUUCAAUGAAACUAAACUUCUCUAAUUUUUUGCACAGGGUCAUCCAACAAAUUACAUGUAUACAUAUUUACAACAGCAACAUUCCACGCUGAAUUCCUCACUGCAAGGGAGCAUUGGGACCUCUGACUCUAGUUUGAUGACAGGACAAAAUCAAUUCUUUCUCAAUCAACCGAAGCCAACCUAAUCUAUUCUGUAAAAGGAAUAGUUUUAUCGCAUGUGUGUUAGACUUCCAAGCUACAAGUGAUUUUUAUUUGAACUUGUAUGAACCAGUUUUUUUUCUUUUUGAAUGCUACUCCAUCUCCCCAGUCAAAUAUAAUCGUUCACAGAAUUAUCUAUGCACAAUGUCCACAUGCAUCAUGCGCAUCUGACCUGUCAGCUAUCCUUCAGUUUACGUAUGAUGAUAGGGAUGGCAGGAAUCAAUUUUAAUUCUAUUGACAAAAGUGCAGACAUAACCAUCUAUCCAAAUGUCAAACCUAGAGGCAUAGAGCAAGCAGAGAACAGAUCAAUUUGGAUUUGCUCUCAGCUUUAUCCCAAUUCAAUUUGCAUUAGAUGGGAGCAACACAAAAAGAAAACGAGAUUUACCUGUGUCCUGUGUAGGUGAUGUUGAGUACACGAACUGCAGCCCGGCGGCUUUCUUGAGGACGGAAUUGACGACCCGAGCUGGAGACAAAGAUUGCAGUCCCUCUCCCCCUCCAAGCAUCCCCGUCCCCCUUCUUCCUCUCCAAGGGCAUAUCAAAUCCAUGGCGCUCUAGCUGCGGUCCUCGACGUCCUUCAUCUCGCUCCCUCGACCCCUCCUCCAAGCUCCUCCACAAGGCCGAGGCGCCGCCCUCUUGUGUAGUCGCCCCGUGCUGGCUCACCAACCUCCGCGCCACUAGGUGGCGACGCUGGUCCGCCGUCCGCUCGACGUCGAUUUAGGCGCCGAUUCUGGCGAAGCUGCAGCACGGCUAGGUCCGGCAAGCGCACAUGGGCCGCGGCCAGCCAAGCGACGCAGGUCCGGCCGACCCCGAUGGGGGCUUCGGUGCCGGCCAAGCUGCUGCACGGUCAG
rnacentral:lncRNA from 1 species